UGGGGAAUUUUGGACAAUGGGCGAAAGCCUGAUCCAGCAAUGCCGCGUGUGUGAAGAAGGCCUUCGGGUUGUAAAGCACUUUUGUCCGGAAAGAAAUCCUUGGCUCUAAUACAGUCGGGGGAUGACGGUACCGGAAGAAUAAGCACCGGCUAACUACGUGCCAGCAGCCGCGGUAAUACGUAGGGUGCAAGCGUUAAUCGGAAUUACUGGGCGUAAAGCGUGCGCAGGCGGUUUGCUAAGACCGAUGUGAAAUCCCCGGGCUCAACCUGGGAACUGCAUUGGUGACUGGCAGGCUAGAGUAUGGCAGAGGGGGGUAGAAUUCCACGUGUAGCAGUGAAAUGCGUAGAGAUGUGGAGGAAUACCGAUGGCGAAGGCAGCCCCUGGGCCAAUACUGACGCUCAUGCACGAAAGCGUGGGGAGCAAACAGGAUUAGAUACCCUGGUAGUCCACGCCCUAAACGAUGUCAACUAGUUGUUGGGGAUUCAUUUCCUUAGUAACGUAGCUAACGCGUGAAGUUGACCGCCUGGGGAGUACGGUCGCAAGAUUAAAAACUCAAAUGAAUUGACGGGGUCAUAGCUG
rnacentral:rRNA from 1 species